rnacentral:rRNA from 1 species
UACGGGGGGGGCAAGCGUUGUUCGGAAUUACUGGGCGUAAAGGGUUUGUAGGUGGCUCGCUAAGUCAGACGUGAAAUCCCUCAGCUUAACUGGGGAACUGCGUCUGAGACUGGCAAGCUUGAGUGCAGGAGAGGAACGCGGAAUUCCAGGUGUAGCGGUGAAAUGCGUAGAUAUCAGAAGGAACGCCGGUGGCGAAAGCGACUCUCUGGCCCGUAUCUGACGCUGAGGCGCGAAAGCUUGGGUAGCAAACGGG